GCGAAACAAACGCGCGAGGCGUGGUUAUUAAUGCUAGUUGAGGAACAACGCGAUAAGCUUCGCGUACAAUUAAUCAUGGUAGCCUCAAUUGCUGAUCUUCGCGUCACGAUCGAUGUGGAACGCGAUACGUUAUAUUAUAACUGUAUCUCUACGAUUUCAUGUCCGCCGUCAAUUUACCGUACAUCAAAAUACUCGGAAUUCUCGCUCAGCGUCGAAAUCGACGGCAGCGAUUUAAAUUUUAUUGCUGGCGGCCGAGAUUACAUGUAAAUUAAUACGCACUGAUUCGCUGUCGCCGUAAACGGUCUCAAGGAUAAAUUCCUUGAUAAAAAUGAAAUCGAUUUCUUUUUGCAGACACUUUAUGAAAUCCUUUGUCAACCGCUGUCACCAUUCACAAAGUGGCGUGUAUGCGUAUGCGCGGGUAACAAAAUUAUCGCAUCAUCCGUGUCGCUCAGCGAAGGGGCCAAGAGAGUUCGAGAGAGAUCACACGGUGACGAUUAAGAACCUGAGAAAACGGGAGAGCAUGUAAUAAGUGCUUCUAAUACUUUGCCGACACACACCACACACACACACACACACACACACGAAUGCGACCGGUUCGUUUAUCGAUUACUGGGGGAGUGCUCGAAAUGGCCUCUUAAAACGCAUGCAGCUUGAAACGGCAGACAGGCGGUACUCGGCAUACAGAUGACGACGACGACGACGACGACGACAGCGACGACGACGGCGGCGACGACGACGAUGACGACGGUGACGAUUUGUGCACACACGCAUAGGAAUGGCGCGCCUGGCGAUAUCAACCCGACGAUAAUGUCAGGAUGAGCUUCCGUGUACGGAGCCCCUACUCGAGAGCCGUUGAAAUGAUGACGCGUUUGAUUUCCGGAAGCACGUACUUCAGCACGUGGAGGGAGAGCAACGGCUUAUCCCGAAUUAGGAGACCAUGCGAGGACCGGGGAAUCCUUCCUCCCACGGGAAAGCCGCUGGACGAAUGGCGAGAGGCGAGCGUGGGAAGAACACGAAGACACGUGGUGGGGCAAAUCGUCGGGACGCAUAGAAAAUAUGCCGCGUGGAAAACGCGUAGUUGGGGAAACUACGAAAGCUCUUGUCCCAGGAGCGCAGGAGAGAGAGAGAUUUUACUACUUCUAGGAAAUCGCAUUUCGCGCGCGCACGCCCGGAAUUCCUGAACAAUUUCAAUCUGGACCUGUUUUUGUGUUAGUUAGUGGAGCGAUGAAAUAUUACAUUCCUUCCUCCUCUGUAUUUAAUAUUCUUUAUACCGUUUUACUCGUAGAUAUAGUCGAGCUUUCUCGUAAUUGAAUUUUCAGAAAUUAUUGCGAAACGAAUAAAAUUUCCCUCUCUAUUAUGUUUAUUUUGCGAGAUCCAGAGAGUGAAGUGGAUCGCAGAUGCACUUCCACUUUGAACUUUAUGCCUCCCUACAAUCUUUUAUCCUCUCACUGUCGGAAAUUAACCUCGAUAGACUUAUUGUGCGAAUAUUGUACAAUAAUGGCAUUACGAAUUGACGUAAAUUUUGGAAUAAUUGCUCCAAGAUGAUGUAAUACCGCAGGAAUUUUAGAGAAAUAAAGUUUCUAAUAUUUGUCAAAAAUUAGACAAAUUUAGGUUUCA